rnacentral:rRNA from 1 species
AUGCUUAACACAUGCAAGUCGAACGGAAACGAUACUAGCUUGCUAGUAGGCGUCGAGUGGCGGACGGGUGAGUAACGCGUAGGAAUCUGCCUGAUAGUGGGGGAUAGCCCGGAGAAAUUCGGAUUAAUACCGCAUAAUCUAUUCGUAGUAAAGUGGGGGACUUUCGAGCCUCACGCUAUCAGAUGAGCCUGCGUAAGAUUAGCUUGUUGGUAGGGUAAAAGCCUACCAAGGCGACGAUCUUUAGCUGGUCUGAGAGGAUGAUCAGCCACAUCGGGACUGAGACACGGCCCGAACUCCUACGGGAGGCAGCAGUGGGGAAUAUUGGACAAUGGGGGCAACCCUGAUCCAGCAAUACCGCGUGUGUGAAGAAGGCCUGAGGGUUGUAAAGCACUUUCAAUUGUGAAGAAAAGUUAACGGUUAAUAACCGUUAGCCUUGACGUUAACUUU